UGAGGGAAAGGCACAAUUCUGGCAGAGCCAGGCAAGAGGUGCCACAGAAAGGGCUGCCGAGCCCAUGGCCCAUCCAAGCAGGUGCCCAGUGUUCCCUGUGGGGCUGUGAGGGACCCUGUGCUGCUGCAGCUUCACUGCUGCUGGCUUCAGCAGCCCCAAGGCUGCAGAAACCUUUAAUAUGUCCCUAGCUAGAUGAAAGCCGCUGCAAGUAUACCUAGCCACGCUUGUAAUGGCAGCUUGGAUUACAGUACAGGUGUCUUGUAAAAUAGAAGAUCUCGAUGACUGAGGUUGGGAUGUGGUUAUAAGAAUUACAGGCUUUCCCAAAAGCACCAAGGAAAACAAAAACAAACCGAAUGAGAAACCCAUUGAUUCUUCUGUUCUAAUCCUGGUGACCAGCUGAGUCAAAAUACGUGCCAGGAGCCAGCCCACAGUAAAGGAAACCCCAUGCGGUGGAAGCUUGUGUUUGGUGAGUCCACAGGAGGCAUCGGAAACCUUCGCAGAUGAGAAAGGAGGUAAGGAAUGUGGCACUGGCCUCGUUGCCUCUCCUUUGGCAAAUGACUAGCUCUCAGAAAGCAUAAUUAAGGUUCUGUCUUCAAAAUGAGAUUUCCAUUUGCUCCCUGAGUUUUAAAAAUAGCGAAAUGAUUUCAGCAAUUGAUUACGCUCUCAGCUAAAUUAAAGCAUGGGGGAAUUAGAAGUUGCCUGUGUUGGUUUCACUUAGUAAUGGACUGUCCUUUUCUUCUCGCCCUUGCAGCAGGACACUGCCCUCCCAGCCAGCUGCAGCAUGCCAGAGAGGCCAGCCACCCACCAGUGGUGCAUGGUGCUCAGAGGUUAACCACUCGGCCGGUCACCAAGGAGACGCGUGGCUCCCUUGCCCAUCUUAUUGCCACCCUACAGCCUCAUAUUGAGAACGUCACCAUAAUCACAUUAAGGGGUUGGAUUUGCCAUUGAAGCUUGAAUUCCCAUGACAGGAGGGGAGUGGACUAAUGCAAUUAAACAAAUUAGCGUUUUGAGCCAUUGCAUGAUGUUUAUCUAAUGCCAUCAGAAAAAACGAGGUAGUUGUCUUUCUCUGAUGGAAAUGUUAACUAAAAUAAUGUAAAAUGCCCCAAUCACUUUCCCUUAUGUUACGUUCAGAGAAAUACUGUAGCUCUCUCAGCUGCAAAGGCCUUUGCAUAUGUAAAGAUAAUUAUCCACUUGACUGAAAUCCUGAAUUGUCUCCCCCUCUUUUUCACAAGCCUCCCAUCACAGUGGUUCUGGUUAUUAUUUUUAGCUGUGUAACAUUUGUGGUGGUAAAGGUAACAUAGAUAAAAAAAGAACUUUGGAGACUUUAAAUAGUAUCUAAAUUAUACUGGUUCUGUAUCCCGGUGUGGCUUUGUGCCUCUCUUACGGUACAUCGCAGUGGGCACUGGAUCAGAACAAAGCUCCCGUUGGUUUUAAAACUAUUUUAGUGUGAAGUGUUUUUCAAGUGCUAUGAAUUACUAUUUUAAAAUACGCCAGCUUUUCUGGAGAUAAGGCAGGCAUAUUUAGUAAUUCUGUAGAAAUGUGGAUUAUUAAAUGCCUGAGGCAGAGCUUUUCUGCCCUUUGUCGUGGGGUUUCAAGGCUAAUCCAGUUCCCUCCUCCCUCCCUCUCCCUGCCAAGUAAACAAAGCAGCAAAGUGAACCAUAGCAAGAAUCAGGAGCCAUAAAUCUUUAAUAUCCUGGCAUGUGAGUUUCAAAGGCAACGUAUUUCUCCGGGAGCUUGGGGGAGGGAUGGGGGCAGCCCUACCCUCCUGCAAAUGCUGCUGCCAUUCCUGUCGUCGUGUCUCUUCCUGGGAAGGUGGACUGCUGAGUGACAGGGAGAGGACCCAGGAGCCUCUUAUGCAUAUCGAUUACCAAGGAGCACAGGAGGCUACACCGCUGGCUGCUUGCUGUCCUCAGCUCCCAGUAAGAAAGGCAGCGAUACCGAGUGCAUUUCAGUAGAUGUUAUUGUGCUGUCACUCCUGUUCUCUCAAAUAAAUCCCAGUCUGCCACUGGGCGCUACGGACAGAAGGACUGUGAACAUGGUUUAUUACUAAAUAAGGGCAUUGGUUAUAAGCUCCGCUUCAUAUAAAAUAUGGUCUAUCUAUCCUAAGCUGCUUACAAAAUAGACAUAUAUUAUGUAGACAGCAUACGUAGUCCCAAAGGAUAAUGUAAUGGUAGUGGUCUUGCCUGAAAACAUAAGUAACCUCAUGACUGAGUCUGUACUGAGAAUAUCUGUCACAAAGUUAAAGGUAGAAUACAGUACAGAUAUAAUGCUGUGGUUAUUUGAGAAGCAUCAUGGAGGUAAGUAUUUCAGUGGUCACAAACUCCCAAAUGUUAGAGCUGAAGGACAGAAGAGAAAUGUACGUGCUAAAACAGAAAGGACAUGGCUGAGCCUUACAAACAAAGUGAGCUCACCACUGUGAUGACAAUUACCAUACAGUUGGGAUUAAAGUAUUUUAAUAUUUAUGGUAUCAGAUUAGAUAAAAAAAGGGGGGGGGAGGUUAAUGUUUUAAAAUAUCUUUUCUCCUCCCAGUACCAUUAUAAGAUAGAAAUAAUGAAUGAAUGAUUUCCCAUGUAAGUACUUAUAUAACAUCAAUAUAAAGUAAUCGUGUUUUGCCUAUUUUUUUUUUCCUUUUAUCAUGUUUGGAUUUAAAUGUAGCCUUAAUCCUGCAUAUCCUGCUUUGAAAAGCUUAGAUCUGUAAUGUGUUGUAUAGUAGUCUUUAAAAGGUUUUGCUGUGCAGUGUGUGGUAGUCUUGAAUUAACAGUAUAGAUUUCAGUUCUUCAGACUUGACAGUUUUGCUUGGAUAAUACUAAUUUCACACAAUGUAGAAACUGUGAAUAUUAACUAAGAUUGAAAAAAAAUAAUAAUACCUUUAUUUAAUAUCACUUAUUAGAUGAAAUGUGAAGUAGUAAUGCAGCUUUAUGGGUAAAUUCACAAAGACACCAAAGAUUAUAAAAUAAAGCACACCAUCCCGUAAUGCCAUUCAUCCUAUGAAUUUUUCCUGUAUUCAAAAGAACAUUUACCAAGCAGUCAAGACACGGUCUGUGAACGUGAGCUCUACCUUAAGAGCUGAUCUCUGAGACUGCAGGACUGUUGCAGUGGGAUCAAUGUGACAUGAAGUGAGAGCAGCAGAACUCGAGUCCAAGCCUUCACAGCUGUGGCUGUGGUUUCUCCAGGAGCAUGGGUCUCCGAAGGGAACCCUGGGCUCAUCACAUGGAGCAGAACUGUCAGAUGUGGAGGGGCAAGUAGCUGACUUUGAUCUCACAGUGAACAUGGAAGAGUUGCCUGCAUGCUUGUGCUGAACCUGCCCAUGGUCUCUACAAUCACAGCGAUUAGCCGGAAGAGCCACUGAUGUCUUAGCAGAACCGUAACACGAUUUCUCUCACUAUAUCCCAUGCACGUGGUAAAAUGAAUACUACCUACAUGGAAAGGGAAUGUGUUACUCCAUUGUUGCACAUAAUCUGAGGGAAUGAAAAAAAGAGGUCUCAAAAGGUGGUUUACACAGCCCACCUCGACUACAGGUCAGGUGUAAAAUGUACACCAAAAUUCAGCUUUGCAGCUUCAUCUCUGCCUCGAUAUGGUUUCAAACCCUGUGUGCUUACAGCAUCUUUCCUAAAUCUAAUCACAUUUUGUAUGUUGAAAGCAGAAAACAUGGGUAAACCCAUGAAGAUGGGAGGGUAAGACCUUAAAAAUGAUGCUUCUGGCAAGAAGUAUUUGAAGAGAGCAGUGACCUGGCUCAGAGGGCAAAGGUGGUUUUGAUACUCUGGAUGAGCAGGAGUUAGAUGUGAAGGGAGAGCAGGAGAUAAAGAAAGGCACAGGCAUAUGUAAGGGAAACAGUAGUAAAAGAAGAGAAACUUUAUGCCUAAAGCAAGUCUGCCUUUUUUUGCUCUGGGAUAUGGAUUUCUGUCAUGCAGUCGGAUAAGCACAAUAGGUGUUUGCCCACACUGCAGGAUUCAGUUAUACCUUUUUGAUCUUUUCUGGAGAUUGUUAAAACUGUGCUUGAAUUGAGACGAUGAACACUUUUCUUGAAUGGAGAAAGUAUGGUGUACAGAAUCUAUAAUUAAAGCAACUAAAGAGACUUUAAAGUUACAAAUGAUGAUAAGCUUAAAAAUAAUUAGUGACAAGUGCCAAUUUAAUAGAUGUUUAAGAUCUUCCUUGUGCUUCAAAGAACAGAAGUGUUAUAAAAAUUGAUGUACAUCUCCAGAGUGUGCCACUGCAGAUUCUCAGAAAAGUCCAAAAGAAGUGAGGACACAACGUGUUGUGUGGCAUGCAGAAGCACUGCAAGAUCCCAGUACGUUGCUGUUGAGAGGGAGCAGAAAGAAUGAGUCAGGUGCGUAUUGUUCUCCACUCUGGAGAUGGCUGUCAUACAGCAGUGCUUCACAUUAUUGUUCCCUGCGUAUUACUGAAGGGAAGUGGCCCCAGUUUUAAUAUCAACACUUGGUCUGAAUAAUCCCACACACUUGUUUUAUUGGGAGAAGCAACAUUGAUUCAUGUAGAAAAGGCAGAAGUGACUAACAAUGAAACAGAAUAGGGUUGGGGAAGGAAAAAAAAAAAAAAAAAAAGAUAAAAAUAAUGGACAAUAAGGGAUCCUUUUACAGGGAAGGCUAUUUAUGAUGCAAAUGAUACAAAAUCCGUGCAUCUGUGACAGUGAAUUAAAAACGAGAGGUGGCACAAGUAUAAACUUGCUGUUGUUAAAAUGAAGCUGCGCUGCAGUGCUGCUCAUUUACUGCCACAUUAGGCUGGCAGUCCUCCAAACGCUGCUUACCCCUACGGGGGGCUGGCUUCUUCACCACUUAACACAGAAAGCAGAGGGACAUCCUGGGAUCUGCGGGGUGGGUUUGUCAGAGGGAAGCACUGUCCUGAGACAGGCAGCAGCUAUUGCACAUGGCCAUGGUGUCUCUCAGAGCCUCCUCCAUCCCCUUCCUCAUUCUUCCCCUCCUUCUCCUGGUUCCCUUUUGUCCACUGGGAAAGGACGUGCGAAGUACAGGUAGAGAGAGAGGCACAAGUCAUUGGCAGGCUGCACUGGGAUAAUUUUCCAAAUAUACUGUAAUAGAAAGUAUGUCCUAGACCUGGUGUGUUUUUUUAUUAACUGUUGGAAGACAAUUUGAUUUGUAAACCCGCUUCUCUUUUUCUCAUCCAGAUUCUUUCCUUUUUCACCAGAAUUUUGCACUUUGCAAUGUGAUGCUAGAUUUACAGAAAUCUAGUUUCAUAGAGUUUCAUAGAAUAUCCCGAGCUGGAAGGGACCCACAGGGAUCAUCGAGUCCAACUCCUGGCACCACACAGGUCUAUCCAAAAAUUCAGACCAUAUGACUAAGUGCACAGUCCAAACACUUCUUAAAUUCUGACAGGCAGUUUAUAAUCCAAUACUAGUUAUCCAUAAUGUGUGCCAAAGCAGGGUUAAAACAGAUCGUUUUCAAAUGAAAAAGGUUGAACCAUUUCUUCUUCCCUAACUAUUCUCAGCACACACUGUUAAGGUGCCCAUUAGCCCUAAUGGCUGGGGUUUUAAAUGCUGUUGACCAGCAUAAUUUUCUUUCUUUUAUAACCCAUAGAACAGUUCAUUUUUAAAAGCAAACUAAAGUUAUGUUCUUAACUGUGGAAAUCUUUCUUUGCUGUCCUGAUAAAAUGACAAAACUGGAGAAGUUCCAGUGACAAUAGACCAACCAUUUGGGGUCCUGCGAACUCUCUGGGCUUCUCUGAGGUCUUUCUCUGAAUUUCCUUUAAAAACACCAUUUUUACUAGGAUUGAUUCCCCUCCAUUCAGUAUUUACUCAUGUAAUUGUCUAAACCUUAAUUUGUAUUUUUAGCUAAGUUCUUCUGAGUGCUUCUAAGCUCUGAUGCCGAAAAUUCUGUAAUGAGACCCUUGUACAAAACAUCAGAAGAAAAUCUGAUCCAUAUUCUGUGUCUUGUAAUUACAUCUUCUACUCUACCAUACAUUUCUCUUCUACUUUCCUUAAUUUUAAACUUCUUUAGCUAAUUUUUAAACUUAAGUGAAGGGUGCUCUGGGGCUAUGAGCACAGAAAUCAGUUUGCAUUGCUGUUUCUAGAUGCCACCAACCUGGAACUAGGAGUCAGGGCAUGUGUUUUGAGGUGAAAUGGCCACAACUAGCUAUAAGCAAUUUGUGAAUUGAGAAUUAUUCGUAACGAUUAUGUUAGGAAUGACUGAAAGAAGUAAUGAAUUUUGCAAAACCAUAAAUAGAUCUUGAGCAAUUUCCAAACAUAAACAGAAGCUAAAUACACUGAAUACAUUUUAGAAAUAAUUAUUCACUCAGCUCUAGUCCACAGUCUUGCAUGGGUAUAAAUUUAAUUUACCACAAAAUUGCCUAUUACCUAAUUUCAUUAAGGUCUUCGUACAGCCCGUCACAGUCCUGAACUAUCAGCAUAACAUUUUGCUAUCAGCAAAUGUGGUGAAUGUGGACAUCCACUUCCUGUUAUAAAUUGUUAAUAAAUAGAUUGCAAAUGCCAAUUAUAUCGUGGUAGUCCUUGACAAAUUCAACAAUUAACUGCUUUCCAUUUUGCCAGUUAUUCCUACAUACUUCCCACCUUGCAAUGCGUUUCCAGCUCUUUACAAGAUGAAUCGUCAACAACCCCCGGAGACAGAUUUUAUCAAAACUCUUCAUAAAAUUCUCAGUACGUUGCAGCUGCUGUUUGCCAUGCAUUUCAUAAACUCUUGGUAUGUAGAAGAAGGUUGGCUAUUAUAUGACGGCACUGUUAUAAGAAAGAUGGCAGCAUGAACUUGUAGGUCCUCCCAGACCAUGCUGCAUAUCCAAGAAACUGAGCUCUUGUUUUAUUUUAUCUCUAAGGCAAGAAGAUCUUCACAUGAAUAUUGGACCAGUUAUACACAGGUAAGGCAUUCAAAUACAUUUAGCAUCUUAAGACCAGUGCCAGUGCACCAGCACCACUGUACCAUUACCGCUUCAGAAAGAGAAUAUUAGAGCUUCAUUUCCAUUACCAGGCAAGAAAUUGCAUGAAAAGAUAUUCUUCCUUCAGAAGCUAGUGAACAGAGUCCAAACACUCUUACAAGACAAGACAAUCUGAAAACUGCUCUUCCUCACUUGUUUUUCCUGCACUGGCAUUUCAGCAUUUUUCUGAGAUGAACCGUACAAAAUGAGAUGUGGAAAUUCAAUUAUUUAUUAGAUUUUAUCUUAUUCUUUACAAAACGCAGGCAGUUCCUUUUACUAACUAACAUAUGGAGCAGCUUCAAACCAGCCAAAAAAAGAAGAGCCCCAAAGUGUUGUGAAGCCAUAACAGAUGUGUCAUUGUCUGAUUUUCAAGUCUUUUUUUUUUAUUUCUUUCUGAAUUCAAAUCAUUCAGUGUUAAGGACAUUUCUUCCUGGAUAUACUACAGAUCUGGAGAUAUGUUACAUUUAUGUAUUGUGUAUAUAUAUAACAUGGAUAUUUAUAUGUUAUUAUUUGUUAUUUGUUUUGUUUAUGUUUAUUGAUCUGUGAAAGUAUGUUUGCUGAUCUGAAAAUAUUUUUAGUGGAUAUUAACUCCCUGUUUUAGUGAAAAACUUUAUCGUUGGACCAUUCAUUACAGUUUAGGGAAAACUGACCACCGUUGGUUCUGCCACUGAUCAGACAGAAGCUGUAAUACACUAUGAGACAUGUUGACAAAGAAAGCAAAGCUUUUCUUCGACUUCCAACUCGGCAGUGCUAACAGUAUUUAUUUAAGUUCACAAAUUAAAGUAAAUGGCUGAUUUGCUAAAAGAGCCUGGAAUCCUGAACAGACAAGUGAUACUACUUUUGGAGAUUUCAGUAUGCCUUUGUACUUCGAUUGUGCUUCCAUCUUGUCCUGCAAUCGGUGGUCCAUCUUCCAAGCAUCCCUCUGGCAUGUGGAAGUCCACCUUACUUGCUUAGACUUAUCUCUGUGUCAAGAUAAUAAUUCCUACGCAUUGGCUUCUGCUUCUUCCAGGCCUUUGGGUUUUGAUCCAUAGGCAGUGUCAGGUGGGUGAGAGUCUGCAUGUUCCUUCAAAACCAUUGAUUUCUCGGCCGGUUGUGGAGCCUGCUCAGAUGAGUGCAAACUGCGGGUGGUAACUUUGUGCUUGCCUCAAAGGUGCUGUGUAAUCCAGGGCUCGACUGUCCCAUGGUGAUGCCGUGACGUGCCCCAAGCUUGGAUGAGAGAAUCGACGAGGAAAUUGCGUGUGAAAGCACUACCAGGGAAGCAGACUUCAGUAAUCAGCUUUCCUGAACCCUGUCAGAACAACAGAUGCACUGAGGACAAAGCCACUCCUAAACCACCACAGCCAGAGUGUUUGUGAGAAGCAAUUGUUUUGGGUUUAUAGAAACAGAAAAAACUAGGGAGCAGCUGUCUCAAAACCCAGACUUAAAUCAAAGACAGCUACAGCUUUGAAGGAACUAACAGUAAAGCCUGAUGUCCUAAAGGUUUAGGAUCAGUUGAAGGUAGAUUAAUUGAAAUCACUGAAAAGAGACCAAUGCAGUGUGUCUGCCUGCAGCACCUCAGGAGGAACUGAAGUGGCAACAAAAAAAAAAAGAAAUUUGGUAUUAGUUUCUGCUGGGAACAGCUUCCCUAAUCGGGGUCAGAAAAGAAGCAGUUGAAGAGGUGACAGAGGUAGGAGGAAGUAAUGCAGUGGGAACGAAGCACUGUGGAAAAAUACUGAUGCUUUAAUUGCUAAAUUUGGCACAGAUAUAUCUAGGAAGCUAAUCCUAUUGAGUGUUUGCUAUAUUUGGAUAUUGGUUAGUUAUCAGGGGUGUGUGUGUGCAGAAUAUGGUAUUUUCUGCAGCUUUCUUCAGCCAACUAUACAUUACAGAUGGAUAAAUUAUAAUAUUCUAAGGCUGAUGUUUUGCUUAUUGUAAGGUGACACAUUCCUUGAAGAAUAUACAAAUUAAUAGCACUGCCAAGCAACAGUCAGCUUAUUAGUCUGCUUUUGAAAUAUGUUUUAUAACUCUGUGGAACAUUUCUGGUGUUGAGGUAAUGUCAGACUGUGACUUACAAACAGUACAUCCAGUAACAUGUAUCAGCUGCAACAACCAGAAGCUGUGAAAAGCUGUCUUCAGUAAAUGACAAGUGAAUUUCCUUCUUUUCCCUUAUUGAAUAUCUGAUAAACUAACACUACCUUUCUGUGCAAAGUCCUUAGUGGCUAUGAAGGAAGACACAAAAUGUUUCUCUUCUGGUGACUCUGAUCUGAGCCAGCCUUUGGUUCUCAGUGAUUUUUUUACUUACUUGGUCUCUCCCUUUUGAAUGCCAGCAAACAUCCAGGGAUUCAAAACAAUCAAAUAUUUCAUGGCUUUGGAAGUCUUGAUUUAGUAGAGUAGAAAAGAAAAGAAAAAAAAAAAAAAAGGAAAAGCACACACACCAAAACCCCAAAACCCAGUAAUUUUCAACUGAGCUGAACUGCACCUGUAGCAUGUAAGGGUUAAUCAGAAAUAGCAGAAGCUGUGUUGUCUCUGCUUUAAAAGACAGACUUGAUGAAAUGCAGUAAAUCAUCCCUUGGAAGUUAAGAAGCUAGAAAAUGAGUGGUACACGGUAGCGCUGUGCUACACACAAUAGCAAUACAAGAUCCUAGGAGCUUGCGCCUGCAGUGGUGAGCGGGUGAUAAAUUCUGAAGUGUGCACGUGGGUGUUUAUUGAGGUCGCAGGUGGUUUCUGAGAAGGAAAAGUACAAAUUCAUUAACAUGGGAAAGUGCAUGUUUGACUUGCUUAGUUCUGAACCCUGUACCACCCUGGUAGGAUGGUAUGUGCUGCUUGGUGCUUGAGAUUCAGAGAUGUCCUUUAGUAUAAUAGCAUGAUAUAUUAAUUUUGGUGGUUUCUUUUGUUUGUUUGUUUGUUCCCCCACGUUGGACAUUACAGUUGGCUGUACUAUGCACACAGUCAGGCGGGAGGGCAGAUUUCAGCCCUGGCAGUGGUGCCCAACCCAGAGCUGGCAGGACAGGGAGAGGGGGCAGCUCCGUGCUCGGGAAGGGCAGGAGGGCUUCAUCCCUGGGGACCCAGCAUGGGCACCCACAGGGGGAAAGCUCUGGUCAUCCAUGGACCUUCGUGGCCAAAAUUAGGGUGGCCCACUGGGCUAGGUACCUGUGGGGAUGGGUGAUGGGUUUUGGGGGAAUCACAGUAUUGGAUGAAUGUGCUUAAAUUCUGCCUCAGCCCUUCUGGUACUGAGCUCCUUUACAGGAGCUAGUUCAUGCAACUGUUCAUGUUCUCUGAUUGAAUUCUGGCAAUUGGUAAUAUUGUAAAAUAAAGAACUAAGACUUGUAAUAGCAGGGUUUUGUACAAAUAAGGAACUAGCAGUCACAAUCUAGAUAUGACUCCAGGGACCAGGAAUAAAGCUUUAAAAAAGGUCUUUGGAGCUUUGGAUCCCCCAAGGAGAGAGAGCAGAGGAACAGAU